AUUGAACGCUGGCGGCAUGCCUUACACAUGCAAGUCGAACGGUAACGCGGGGCAACCUGGCGACGAGUGGCGAACGGGUGAGUAAUGCAUCGGAACGUGCCCAGUAGUGGGGGAUAGCCCGGCGAAAGCCGGAUUAAUACCGCACACGACCUACGGGUGAAAGCGGGGGACCGUAAGGCCUCGCGCUAUUGGAGCGGCCGAUGUCUGAUUAGGUUGUUGGUGGGGUAAAAGCCUACCAAGCCGACGAUCUGUAGCUGGUCUGAGAGGACGACCAGCCACACUGGGACUGAGACACGGCCCAGACUCCUACGGGAGGCAGCAGUGGGGAAUUUUGGACAAUGGGGGCAACCCUGAUCCAGCCAUGCCGCGUGCGGGAAGAAGGCCUUCGGGUUGUAAACCGCUUUUGUCAGGGAAGAAACGCUCUGGGCUAAUACCCCGGGGUAAUGACGGUACCUGAAGAAUAAGCACCGGCUAACUCCGUGCCAGCCGCCGCAGUAACAC
rnacentral:rRNA from 1 species